CUACCCUCAAGCGCGGCUUGUGUGUUGGGCGCUGUCCCCCGGGGACAGGCCUGAAAGGCAGUGGCGGCGUCGCGUCCGGUCCUCGAGCGUAUGGGGCUUUGUCACUCGCUCUGUGAGGUCCGGCCGGGGCCUGUCUACCCCCAAUCUUUUCUCAA
rnacentral:misc_RNA from 1 species